rnacentral:snoRNA from 1 species
GGCCCGAUGCCACGUCGCCGGUAGCGAAAAAGAAAAAAAAAGCAAUGACCGGCGAUGCUAUGAUUGGACCAAAAUAAAUCUCAUGUUUCGCGUUCUGAUAGGAACCUGUGGAUCUGAAUUUGAUCUACGUAGCCGUUUUCGGCGAUUACAUUA